rnacentral:rRNA from 1 species
UACGUAGGGAGCAAGCGUUGUCCGGAAUCAUUGGGCGUAAAGCGCGCGUAGGCGGCCCUGUAAGUCCGCUGUGAAAGUCAAAGGCUCAACCUUUGAAAGCCGGUGGAUACUGCAGGGCUAGAGUCCGGAAGAGGCGAGUGGAAUUCCUGGUGUAGCGGUGGAAUGCGCAGAUAUCAGGAGGAACACCAUAGCGAAAGGCAGCUCGCUGGGACGGUACUGACGCUAAGGCGGCGAAAGCGUGGGGAGCGAACAGG